CUACGGGAUGCAGCAGUGAGGAAUAUUGCACAAUGGGGGGAACCCUGAUGCAGCAACGCCGCGUGGAGGAUGACGCAUUUCGGUGUGUAAACUCCUUUUAUAUGUCAAGAAAAUGACGGUAGCAUAUGAAUAAGCACCGGCUGAACUCCGUGCCAGCAGCCGCGGUAAUACGGAGGGUGCAAGCGUUACUCGGAAUCACUGGGCGUAAAGGACGCGUAGGCGGGUUGGAAAGUCAGGUGUGAAAUCCUACAGCUUAACUGUAGAACUGCACUUGAAACUUCUAAUCUAGAGUAUGGGAGGGGGAGAUGGAAUUAGUGGUGUAGGGGUAAAAUCCGUAGAUAUCACUAGGAAUACCUAAAGCGAAGGCGAUCUCCUGGAACAUUACUGACGCUAAGGCGUGAAAGCGUGGGGAGCAAACAGGAUUAGAUACCCGGGUAGUC
rnacentral:rRNA from 1 species